CCCGUAGGCGGUUCGUCGCGUCCGGUGUGAAAGUCCAUCGCUUAACGGUGGAUCUGCGCCGGGUACGGGCGGGCUGGAGUGCGGUAGGGGAGACUGGAAUUCCCGGUGUAACGGUGGAAUGUGUAGAUAUCGGGAAGAACACCAAUGGCGAAGGCAGGUCUCUGGGCCGUUACUGACGCUGAGGAGCGAAAGUGUGGGGAGCAAACA
rnacentral:rRNA from 1 species